GAAAAUCAGAGAUGCAGCAUUGGUACUUCGUGAAGCCAUCAUGAAAGCCCCACAAAAGCAAAUACCUUCAAGUCCGACCAUGCAAGAUAUAAUUGGUGGGGAAGUUGAUGUCCCGGAGUUAGUCCAAGACUUCUUCAAAUACUUAGUUGGUGGUCCAGACUCAAGAAUAUGGAAACAACCAGGAAAACAGCGGCGAAUCAGGGCUAUUAGUCAGGAUGCAGUAUUUUCUGCAACAUCUGGUAAGAAAAAACCAGGAAAGCAUCUGAUUACAGCUCUGGCUAUGAAGAGCAUGACUGGGUGUAGAAAAGUAAUAGAAGUGCUGAACAGAAUGGGUCAUUGUGCCAGUUACCAUACGGCUGAAGAAAUAGAAACUGAACUAACAUUUUCGGUCAAAAAUAAUGACAACGAAAUGCCGUUUGGUAUGCACUCAGGAAAUGAAUAUGGAACUGGAGUAGCCUGGGGCAACUUUGAUCGAUUUGUUGAAACUAUGAGCGGCAAGGACACACUUCAUGAUACAGUUGCCAUAGCGUACCAGCUCGUUGAAGCUAAAGCCUCAGCCCAAAAGCCAGAGUCAGAUAGAAUUCACCAUGAGAAUAUUACUGAAACAAAAACAAAAGCAUCCCUGCCAACAAUUGGAGUCGGCCUAAGCAAGAAAAGGCGGCGUUCCUAUGAAACUGAAAGCUCUGAAAUUCAGCCUUAUCAUAAAAAACCACGCCUAGAAAACGCCGGGUUACUGGCUGCCGAUGAUAUCAGACUUCUGACAAGUGAGGAAAAUGUUGACUUAGGGUCAUGGAAGAAAGAUGUUCUCUGGAUGUUGGAUGUGUGGCAAAAUCCAAAUACACCAAUGUGGGCAGGAUGGAAUGCAGAGAGAGUUUAUGACUAGAAAACAGAUGAAAGUUUGGUAUUUGCCACAAAUAAACCAAUCACCCACAUCAAAUGCUGUCGUUGUUGAAACAAUGAAAAGGUCACAGAAAUUAGCAGAGGAGUCCAACAAGUCUUGCAUGGUUGUCACCUACGACCUAGCCAUAGCAAAAAUAGCUUUGCAAAUACAAGCCCAGGAAAAGCCGGUAUUUGACAAUCUCUUCAUUUCACUUGGGUCAUUCCAUGUGGAGAAAGCAUAUUUUUGUGUCAUUGGGAAGCUGAUCGCUGAAUCUGGUGCCCCGCACAUAUUGAAUAAGUGCGGUGCACUAGCAGUGGGCUCUAUAAACGGAUUUAUCAAAGGAAAGCAUUACAACCGCUGCAAGAGAAUACACGAACUGCUAGCGGUUUCUCUGGAAAUACUCUUUUUUUUUUAAUGGUUUCAAAAAAGCCAAAACGACCCUGACAUAGUACCAGUGCUUCAGAAUGAGCUAAAAUGCAUCAGUGAUUCUCCAGAUAUCAACAAAUACCAACAUUCAAAGGAAGGAAACGACAUAUUGGAAAGAUACAGAGACUUCUAUGAAAAAACACUGGCCGGGGACAAUGGAAAAACUGCACAGUUUUGGUGUAGCUACAUCAGCCUGAUGCACCUGUACCACAGAUACAGCCGCAGUGUCAGAACCGGAGACUUGGAGGGGUACACAAACACAUUGCUGCAAAUGGCAAACUAUUUCUUCGCCUUGAACCAUCACAACUAUGCCCGCUGGACAGUAAAGUAUCACGAUAAUCUACUGAAGCUUAAAGAAACACAUCCAGAAAUCUAUGAAGAAUUCAAAGACGGACUGUUUUCUGUUAAGAGAACCAAGAAGCCAUUCUCUGGAAGUCCAAUUGAUCUGACAUUGGAGCAAACUAUAAACAAGGAUGCUGCCAGCCAGCGGAUUGGAAUUGCCGCAAUGACAAACUCCAUAUCUGCAAGGCAAAGAUGGGCCGAAUCUCAUUUCAUUCGGACAUCCAUUCUGUCACAUGUAUUUCAAGAAGCUGGCAUGCAUAAAAAAGAUGUAACACAUGGACUGAAGAAGCAUGCAAUUAGGAAGGACAACAAAACAGUCAAGGACAUAAUCUACAUGAUAAAAGAAACAAUGAAUCCAUUCACUGAAGACAUAGACUCCAAACAUCUGUACAAUAUUGGGACUGGAAAAACUGCUCCAGAGGAAGUAGAAAGCUUUCUCCUCAAUGUCAGGGAAGCAGGUGAAGUCCAGAGAAAGAAGUUCAUGAAUGAGUGCCGCCAAGAGCCUGGAAGGUUUCUAGCAAAGAUUACUCGGCAAGAGGUGUCAACAUUUGCAACUGCAGGAACAAAAUCAAAGAAAACAGAUGUAAAAAGAGUGGCAGCAUGUAUGGUCCGUGACUUGUUUGGUAGCAUUCUGUAUGCUUCAGUAGAGAAACGCAUCGACUUAGCAGAAGUGCUAAAAUAUCCUCUGACACCUGUACCAUUAUCACUCUGUCAUGUGGAUGGUACAAUGCUGAAAACACCAAAAUCGGCUCUGAUGCAAUAUCUUGAGAACAAGGUGAAAUCAAACUCUCCGGAACACAUCGAUGUCACCAUAAUCGAUGCAUCAUUUUACUUCCAUCUAUUGCCAGGUGCAGCCCUUCCCACGAAAUUUGGUGGGAUAUCAUCACACAUUUUACGGAAAAUCAUGGCAUCAGAAGGCGAUGAAAUUCACUUCGUGUCUGAUAAAUGGCUAAGUCCAUCAAUCAAAGACUGUGAAAGAGCUGCAAGGGAUGGAUCUGUUGAUUCAUUCAAAAUAACAGGUGGCAGUCAGAAAAGACCAGCCAAUUGGAUGAGUGCUUUACGCAACGCAGGAUUUAAAGAAUCUCUGGUCAAGUACUUGGUUGCUAGUUGGUCAGAUGAUUGCAAUGUGAAACACUUGGGAACCAAAACCUUGUAUGCAAAUGAUGGCGACACCUGCUACAAAUAUGUGGUGGAAGGGAAUUCGGUCAUGAAAUCAGAAGAAUCAAGAUACAGCAAUGACCACGAAGAAGCAGACGCAAGAAUGUUCUUCCAUGUGCACAAGAUAACUGGACAGAAAAACAUAGUGAUAAGAGCGAAUGACACUGACUGCUUAGUUAUUGGUCUUGGAUCUCAGUCAAACUUCUGUAAUCACAAGGUUUGGAUAGAUGCAGGACUAGUCUCAAACAAUACACGAAGGUACAUCGACAUGACCAAGCUUGCAGCAAACCUAGGCGAGUCAUUGUGUUCAGCGAUGCCCGCAUACCAUGCAUUCACUGGCUGCGACUACACUGCAGCAUUUUCCCGAAAAGGAAAAGUUCAGCCACUAAAGAUCUUGGAGAAGAACGCCAAUUUCCAGAACUCUUUCACAGCCUUAGGGAAGGAACAAACAAUAUCAGAUGAAACUUUUUCAUCAAUUGAGAAGUUCACAGCUGAAAUGUACGGUAAAAGGAAAAGUCAAUUCAUCAAUGAUAUACGAUUGGAAUUAUUCCUAGAACGGUACAAACCUUCUGGUAAAUUGGAUGAAGCGCGCAUCAGCUGUUUGGAAAAAAAUGGACGGAAGCACCCUCCCACCGUGUCACAAUGUCCUGAAGCAGAAAAUAAAGAGUACACCUCAUAGCUAACAGGUGGAAUUCUGUUGACCUUGCUACUCAGAGUCCUAUCUCGCCAACAGAGUCUGGAUGGACUUUGGGAUAUGGUAGUUACCAGAUUCUUUGGACAGAAGGUGACUUGUACCCCAAGACAAUCGACGUGCUGCAGAAUGACAAGGAUGGCUCCGAUGAUGAAGAUAUUAAUGACUGCACAGAUGACUUGGCAAUGGAAAGUGACACUGAUGCAGAUGAUACUACUGACGAUGAAACUGAAAACAGCGAGUGACUGUAAAGACCAAUGAAUACACGUUAACAUAUUGAGAAACAAUAUACUCUUGAAAAAAUAUAUGUAAAAUGUCUUCCAUACUCUAUGCUAUACUAUAUGCAUCAGGUAUUUCCAACGAAUGCUAGUUUUUAUGUCUGCCUUAGUUAUGCUCCUUCUACCUAUAGUAGAAAUCUGAAACCUCUAGGAACAGGUUUUUUGUUGUUGUUUUCCUUAGGAACAAAGAUAUGCAAAUUUGGGGGGUCAGCUCACCCUAACUCACCCCCCUUAAAUCCUUAAAUCAAGCCAGUUUAAAUGUCAGCAUCAGUUUAACUAUUUAUUCUACCUAUGGUAGAAAUCUGAAAGUUGUAGGAACAGUUUUUUUUGUUGUUGUUGUUAUCCUUAGGAACAAAGAGAUGUAAGUUUUUGGGGGUCAGCUGACAUUAACUUACCACCCUUUAAUCAUGUCAGUUUAUAUGUCAAUAUUAGUUAAACUAUUUUCUCUACCUAUGGUAAAAAUCUGAAUGUUGUACGAACAGUUUUGUUGUUGUUGUUAUCCUUAGGAACAAAGAGAUGUAAAUUUUGGGGGUCAGCUGACACUAACUUACCACCCUUUAAUCAUGUCAGUUAAUAUGUCAAUAUUAGUUAAGCUACUUAUUCUACCUAUGGUAGAAAUCUGAAUGUUUUACGAACAAUUUAUUUUAUUUUACCCCUAGGAACUAAAUGGGACACAUUUUGGGGGUCAGCUGACUCCAUCUUACCACCAGAAAAAUAAGUCAGUUUUUAC